GGGCUCGUAGCAGAGUGGAUAAUGCACCGGCCUCCGGAGCCGGAGAUCAUGGGUUCGAAUCCCAUCGAGCCCGCCA
rnacentral:tRNA from 1 species